CUACGGGAGGCAGCAGUAGGGAGUUUUCGGCAAUGGGGGAAACCCUGACCGAGCAACGCCGCGUGAGUGAUGAAGGUCUUCGGAUUGUAAAGCUCUGUUACAGAGGACGAAUGAUCGACAUAGGAAAUGAUGGCGAG
rnacentral:rRNA from 1 species